rnacentral:misc_RNA from 1 species
AACUAACCAUCAAAUUGUUACAGUUUCUGUACUWUAUUG